rnacentral:rRNA from 1 species
CAGAACGAACGCUGGCGGCAUGCCUAAUACAUGCAAGUCGAACGGAGAUAGCAAUAUCUUAGUGGCGAACGGGUGCGUAACACGUGGGCAACCUGCCUUAUACAUCGGAAUAACAGCUGGAAACGGCUGCUAAUACCGGAUAAGACCACACCAAGGCAUCUUGGAGAGGUCAAAGCGAAUUAGCGGUAUAAGAUGGGCUCGCGUCCAAUUAGCUAGUUGGUGGGGUAACGGCCCACCAAGGCAACGAUUGGUAGCCGACUUGAGAGAGUGAUCGGCCACACUGGAACUGAGACACGGUCCAGACUCCUACGGGAGGCAGCAGUAGGGAAUAUUGGGCAAUGGAGGAAACUCCUUACCCAGCAAUGCCGCGUGAAUGAUGAAGGUCUUAUGGAUUGUAAAGUUCUUUAAUUGGGGACGAAAGAAAUGACGGUACCCAAAGAAUAAGCCCCGGCUAACUAUGUGCCAGCCGCAGC